rnacentral:rRNA from 1 species
UACGGGAGGCAGCAGUGGGAAUAUUGCACAAUGGGCGAAAGCCUGAUGCAGCAACGCCGCGUGAGCGAUGAAGGCCUUCGGGUCGUAAAGCUCUGUCCUCAAGGAAGAUAAUGACGGUACUUGAGGAGGAAGCCCCGGCUAACUACGUGCCAGCAGCCGCGGUAAUACGUAGGGGGCUAGCGUUAUCCGGAAUUACUGGGCGUAAAGGGUGCGUAGGUGGUUUCUUAAGUCAGAGGUGAAAGGCUACGGCUCAACCGUAGUAAGCCUUUGAAACUGGGAAACUUGAGUGCAGGAGAGGAGAGUGGAAUUCCUAGUGUAGCGGUGAAAUGCGUAGAUAUUAGGAGGAACACCAGUUGCGAAGGCGGCUCUCUGGACUGUAACUGACACUGAGGCACGAAAGCGUGGGGAGCAAACAGGAUUAGAUACCCUGGUAGUCCACGCCGUAAACGAUGAGUACUAGCUGUCGG